GAUGAACGCUGGCGGUAUGCUUAACACAUGCAAGUCGAACGGACUCUUCGGAGUUAGUGGCGGACGGGUGAGUAACGCGUGAGAAUCUGGCUUUGGGUUCGGGACAACUACUGGAAACGGUGGCUAAUACCGGAUGUGCCGAGAGGUAAAAGAGAAAUUGCCUGAAGAUGAGCUCGCGUCUGAUUAGCUAGUUGGUGAGGUAAAGGCUCACCAAGGCAGCGAUCAGUAGCUGGUCUGAGAGGAUGACCAGCCACACUGGGACUGAGACACGGCCCAGACUCCUACGGGGGGCAGCAGUGGGGAAUUUUCCGCAAUGGGCGAAAGACUGACGGAGCAAUACCGCGUGAGGGAAGAAGGCUCUUGGGUUGUAAACCUCUUUUCUUAGGGAAGAACAAAAUGACGGUACCUAAGGAAUCAGCAUCGGCUAACUCCGUG
rnacentral:rRNA from 1 species